rnacentral:rRNA from 1 species
UCUAGCCAUGCCGCGUGAGUGAUGAAGGCCUUAGGGUCGUAAAGCUCUUUCGCUGGGGAAGAUAAUGACGGUACCCAGUAAAGAAACCCCGGCUAACUCCGUGCCAGCAGCCGCGGUAAUACGGAGGGGGUUAGCGUUGUUCGGAAUUACUGGGCGUAAAGCGCGCGUAGGCGGAUCAGAAAGUUGGGGGUGAAAUCCCGGGGCUCAACCUCGGAACUGCCUCCAAAACUCCUGGUCUUGAGUUCGAGAGAGGUGAGUGGAACUCCGAGUGUAGAGGUGAAAUUCGUAGAUAUUCGGAAGAACACCAGUGGCGAAGGCGGCUCACUGGCUCGAUACUGACGCUGAGGUGCGAAAGUGUGGGGAGCAAACAGGAUUAGAUACCCUGGUAGUCCACACCGUAAACGAUGAAUGCCAGUCGUCGGGUAGCAUGCUAUUCGGUGACACACCUAACGGAUUAAG